UGACCUCAAAUCAGGUAGGACUACCCGCUGAACUUAAGCAUAUCAAUAAGCGGAGGAAAAGAAACUAACAAGGAUUCCCCUAGUAACUGCGAGUGAAGCGGGAAAAGCUCAAAUUUAAAAUCUGGCGGUCUUAUGGCUGUCCGAGUUGUAAUCUAGAGAAGUGUUAUCCGCGCUGGACCGUGUACAAGUCUCCUGGAAUGGAGCAUCAUAGAGGGUGAGAAUCCCGUCUUUGACAUGGACUGCCAGGGCUUUGUGAUGCGCUCUCAAAGAGUCGAGUUGUUUGGGAAUGCAGCUCAAAAUGGGUGGUAAAUUCCAUCUAAAGCUAAAUAUUGGCGAGAGACCGAUAGCGAACAAGUACCGUGAGGGAAAGAUGAAAAGAACUUUGGAAAGAGAGUUAAACAGUACGUGAAAUUGCUGAAAGGGAAACGCUUGAAGUCAGUCGCGUCAUCCAGGGAUCAACCUUGCUUUUGCUUGGUGCACUUCCUGGUUUGAUGGGUCAGCAUCAAUUUUGACUAUUGGAAAAAGGCUGAGGGAAUGUGGCAUCUUCGGAUGUGUUAUAGCCCUUGGUCGCAUACAAUGGUUGGGAUUGAGGAACUCAGCACGCCGCAAGGCCGGGUUUUAAACCACGUACGUGCUUAGGA
rnacentral:rRNA from 1 species